AAGAUGAACAAGCGGUGGUCUGACCAUGCAGCCGGGCCUUCAAGUCUGAAGGCAGCAGUAUAAGUACGAUGAGUGCGUAUCUGUGAGACAG
rnacentral:ncRNA from 1 species